CGUUGCACACAAACUCUGCCUGGGCUUCGCUCUGCUGGUCGUUUGCGUCCCACCCUCCGCUGCUUUCUCUCAGCAUACUACAGAGAAUCCUCCGGGGGAGUUCAUACACGGAAGCCUCUAAGUCUGGAAACACUGCAGGUCAUAUGGAAUCCAGUGAAGAUGAAGGUCCACUCAGUGUUGGAGGCUCCUCUGGUGAGGAGAAUUACUUCCUGGGCUACACAUUCACUGAUCGGUCACACUCCGGCCGUGUGGUGAAGAGCAUCAUGGAUCUCUGCUUGGAAGACGGCCUCUUUGCCGACGUCACCGUCAUGGUGGAUGGCCGGGAGUUCCACCUGCACCGCCUGCUGCUGUCGGCCCAGAGCCUCUUCUUCCGCUCAAUGUUCACGUCGAACCUGAAGGAGGCGCAGAACCGCAGCAUCGAGCUGAAGGGGGUCAGCGCCCCCAUCUUUCAGCUUCUGGUCGACUACAUCUACCACGGUACCAUAAAACUGAGGGUGGAGGACCUUCAGGACAUCUACGAGAUGGCCGACAUGUACCAGCUGACGGCACUUUUCGAGGAGUGCUCCCGUUUCUUAUCACGCACCACGGAGGUCAAGAAUUGUCUGCAGGUAAUGUGGUUGGCUGAUACGCACAGUGAUCAGGAGCUCUACACAGCUGCUAAGCACUGUGCCAAGAUCCACCUGGUUCAGCUCCACCAAUCAGAGGAGUUUCUCAAUCUGCCCCUGCGUCUCCUCAUGGACAUCAUCAAAGAUGGGGUACCAACUUCCCAGAAUCCUACUGGAGCUAUUGAUUCGUGGAUAAACCAUAACAGGGUGGAAAGACAGGAGUUCUCCAACAUGUUGCUGGACAGCUUGAAGGAGAUUGGCGAGAACGUGCACAUCUACCUGAUCGGCAAAGAGGAAACGCGCACGCACUCGCUGGCCGUGUCCCUGCACUGUGACGAAGACGACAGCAUCAGCGUCUGUGGCCAGAACAGUCUGUGCCACCAGAUCACGGCCGCCUGCAAGCACGGGGGUGACCUCUAUGUGGUGGGAGGGUCCAUCCCCCGUCGCAUGUGGAAGUGCAACAUGCACACCAUGGACUGGGAGCUCUGUGCCCCAUUACUACGCGACCGACUGCAGCAGACGCUAGUGUCGGUGCCCAGCGAGGACGUCAUUUACUCUUUGGGUGGCAAGACUCUGCAGGACACACUUUCCAAUGUUGUCAUUUACUACACGGUGCAGGACAACAUGUGGACCGAGACAAGCCGGCUGGACACGGCCGUGUCGGGGGCAGCCGGCGUCAACCUGGGUGGCACUAUCUACUUGCUCGGGGGCGAGGAGAACGACAUGGACUUUUUCAGCAAGCCCUCGCGGCUCAUCCAGUGCUUCGACAUGGCGGCCCAGAAGUGCCACAUGAAGCCGUACGUGCUGCCGUUCGCGGGGCGCAUGCAUGCCACCGCGCACAAGGACCUGAUCUUCGUGGUGGCCGAGGGCGAUUCCCUGGUGUGCUACAACCCGCUGCUGGAGAGCUUCACGCGCCUCCGCUUCCCCGACACGUGGAGCUGUGUGCCGUCGCUCUGGAAGGUGGCCAGCUGCAACGGCUGCAUUUACGUCUUCCGGGACAAGUGCAAGAAGGGCGACGCCAACACGCUGAAGCUGAACCCGGCCACCUCCGUGGUGUCCGUCAUUAAGGGGAUCAAGAUCUUGCUCACGAACUGGCAGUUUGUCUUGGCUUAAUGCCUCUAUAUUUCCUGUUUUCCUCUUUUUUCUGUCUUUUUUUGCCAGCUUGGUAUUUGCUCUCCAGACAUUGCGGGGGUCUCCAUGCAAGCUUUCCACCCACCCACAUAUCCACCCAAAUUAGCCAAUCUCAGCAGAUGGCACAUUUCUUAUGUAUACAAGUGGCUUUUUGCUCCGUUUGGUCUUUUUGCAGCAUGAGUCAUAGUAGUUCAUUUUAUCAGAAUAUUCAUUUAUUAUAUCUCUGUUCAGUUUGUUUUCCACCUCAGCUUAUGUCGGGAGAAAUGUGUUUUGUCAUUGUGAGGGCUCUUUCACCGUCAUGAAAAAAGCGGAACGAAUUACAUUGGCAUCCCUCUCAGAUGGAAAAGGUUGCUUCUGGUGUUUAGAUAAUCAAGUACAGAUUCCCCAAAAGGCAGCAUGACAUCCACACACAGCCGCUAGCCACAAAUUAAAGGCCUCAGAUGAGACUGAGGGGUCCAAUGUGCAGAAUCAUGUUUCUACCAUGUUUUUUUUAUUAUUAUUUUUUUUUGCUUGGUUAAAUAUACAUCCAGUCUUUUAUCGUUAUGGAAAACAGUUCUGUUGCUGAUCGGCCCUGUGUUUUCAAAUAUUCAUGCGUGCAUUACAUAUCUUGAUAAUAUUUUUCAUUUGGAUCACCCAGUAGUUUCCAAAACCAUCCGUUAUUGCAGCUAAUUGGCACAGUUUGUGCAUAAAGUACUUUAAGGGAGUAUGUUUGGUGGAGUUUUGUCAUUUGGAAAAACUGCAAGCCAUAGAAAAGUAACAUUGUAGGACGUAGCAUAGACUAUUAGAUAUGUUUAGGUUAAUUUAAUCCUUUAAUGUUUACCAACUGACUGUUUACCAAAUGUUUGCUGUACUGAACUAACAUCAUAAUGUUAAGACAGGUAUCCCCCACUUUAAAGACACAGAAGUGGAUCAUUCCUAUGAAACCUUUCCAAAUCUGAAAUGGUGUAAAGUGAAGAAGUAAUUACCAUUAAUUUGUAUAGCAGAAUUUUUUGAGAAUUUCUAGACCCACAAAUAACCCAUCAAAUCAUACCAAAUAACAUUAACGUAUAGUAAAAGCAGGAAUGAUAACGAUAAAACCUAGAUGGUAUCAUCUACUACACACUUAGGCUAUAUGGUAUAGCCUAAAUAAUGAUUUAAAAUGUCCAGUAUAGUAAAUACAUAAAUGAGCAACAUAGUUGUAUCAUUAUCAAUAUCAUUAUCAAGUAAUAUGUAUUGUACAUAAUUGUAUUUGUUAUAAUUUUAUAUGACUGGCAGCACAGUAGGUUUGUUUACACCAGAAUCACCACAAGCACAAGUACCGUGUUGUGCUACGAUGUCACUAGGCAAAAGGAGUUUCAUCUCCAUUAUAAUCUUAUGGGACUGCCGUCGUAUAUGUGGUCCGUCGUCAACCGAAACGUUGUUAUGCGGAACAGGCCUGUAUAUCAGUAAUCGGCUCACUGAUUGGCUCGCUUUGAAUUUCUUUCAGCUGGCAAAAGCAGGUGUAGGGUUAAUGCAGGUCUUUUGAAAAAGAGAAACGGCGUAAAGCAAACGUCCGUAAAGCGGGGAUACCUGUAUAAGUGCAUUAAAUGAUUUUAAAGCUCAGAGUGUUUCAAGUUAACACUGAAGUAUGCCCUGCAUGAAAGAACUUCCUUUGGCUCUGGUGUGGCAAACAGUGAGUUUCUAAUUAACUUUAAACAUGUUUCCGUGUAAGUGACGCACACAGCAAGUUUGAGGGUUUGUAACUCGUUGUGACCUCUGGUAAUGUGAUUUUGUUUGACUUGCCAGAUAGUAUUGAGAUAGUAUUGUCAAGGUUGUACCGUUUGAUAGGCAUGGAUCCAUCUAUCCAUUACCAGACCAGAUACAUAAUGGGAAUAGUAGAAAGUGUUAUGUGGUGUUUAUGAACAUUCAUUCCUAAGAAUCCCAAAAUCAUGCUAAUCUACCUUCCAUACCAGAUUCUCACUAACAAAGCCAUCUUUUUCAUGUUGUAAAUUAUGAGCCCAUAGGUUGAAGAAAGAGAUUGUGAGAAGGUGGCAAAAUUUCUACUAUGUCAGUAUGGAUGAUGGGGGAGACUAGAGGGAGGCACAUCAGGCUGCACUCGGCGACCUGCUUCUGCCAUUGUGAGGUGAUGGUUGACAACAUGGUCUAUAAUUGUGGCCUGAAUUUCAUCGGGGACAGCAUGGUGUCUUCGUGCUCCUCAGCCUCUUCCCCCUAUUGCACCACCACGCAUCCUCACUCCUCCUCCUCCGAGCAGGAAGUUGCCCUUGUUCAUUUACUUGGAGAGGUACCUCCAUGUUUAUACUGCAAAUGGUACUGGCCCUGGCCAAGCUCCUUAUAUAGAUGUUUGGCAGCAUUCACAACCAUAGACAGCACCUGUCAGGUAACUAAACAAACGGUUUGGUUGGUGAUCUGAGAUGUGGGAAACUCCUCCUUCGUUAGUCAAGUUCUAAUUUCACCUGACUCUCAAUUACUGUGAUGAAUUUAUCAAAUGUUCCAAGAAAUUCAUACAUGUUGUUCAUGGUAUUAUAUUCUUGACUAAUUUUGACAAUUGAACAUUGUGCAUAUGAUCACUUACACAAUGAAAUCAUGCUGACAUGUUUUGGAGAGAACAACCAUUAGACUGAGAAUCAACUAAUCAGUUUAGAUAAGCAAGAUCUAUUUAUUUGGAAAAUGUGCUAAAUGUGGGCUCAUUGUGCUAAUUGUAGGCUACUAGUACAUAACUGUUUGCAAAGAUGCACUGAGACACUUGAGACAUGUACUAAGACAUUUGCAAUUUGAUGACAUCAAUGAGAAAUGCCAUUCUGUUGUGAACAAUUGCAAGGUGGUUUGGAGAUUUGCCCAUGUUAUUUUGAGAAUGUCAUUUCUGUUUCAAGAAAUGAGCCAAACCAAUGGAGAAAAACUGGAGAAUACAGGCCUUAACCCUUGUAUUGUCGUUGUUAAUGUUAAUGGUUGCGUUUCUCUGUUGUUGCGCGUGUGUUUGCCCGUGUCCUGUGAGUAUCUGGUGCGAUCCUUGCGUGUGUUUAGCGUGUGCAAAUCUUCCGUGUGUGCAUCUUGCAGUUCAGCGGCUUACAGCCUGGUUUCUCGCCUGUGUAUUUGGGUUCGGUGCUUGUCGGGUGCCUGUUGUGGUCUUUCUAUUUACAAUUGCACGCGGGGCAUGUUGGGACAUGCAGGGGCAUGCUGGGACAUGUCCCCUGCCAGUGCUAUACUAGUAUGAAAAGGGAAUCUGGUCAAGGAAUCUGUUCGUCAACCAAAUUUUGUACACGCACCAAUGCAUUUGUUUUGCCGUAGUUUGCCAUAGUUUUAGGUAAUCUUUAAUACAUUGUGUACUGUAUAGUGUAUUCUUAUAAGAAAAAGAAACGGUGGAAACUCCUAAAUAGUUUGAGCUACUUUAUAUCGGAGGCAGUAUCAGAUGAAAUACUGGGUGGGCUGUUCUAUUUUAUAAAGUAAAGUUUAUUUUUGAGAGUUAUUUUUAAAAGUAGGUAUACACUUAUUUCACAGUACUGGUAACACCUUUCCACAGUGCUGGAUCGUGAAAUGUGGCAGCACUGACUGGCCACCACGUUCACCCAACCUGACACUCAUGCGAUAUUGUAAAGGAGAAGGUUUUAGAGAGGAAGACCCACACAGUGUAUGAUUUGAAAGGGGUUUAUCUCACAAUACUAACCGGGAGAAUGUUGAUGGAGGACGUUUCGAACAUCUAAGAGACUAAACGUGAUCCAAUCAGUGCUGUAAAAAAAAAAAAAACUAUAUCUACUUUUGGCUCACCCUGUAUAUACAAAAUAAGAAACGUUUAAGCAUAUAUGCAUAGACAUUUACAAACCUUAGUGUGCAGUGUACUUAAAAGUGUGAUAUGCAGAAGAGGGAUCAGGGUGACAUUGUGCUGUAUUUGAAAGAAAAAAAUAAAUUAUCUGAAAGUAUGGUAAAUAACCAAACUAAUUCAGUCAGUCUCCCCCCCACAACUAAACUUAAACAUAGCAAAAAGCCACAUAUAUAAUUUUUAAAAUGACCUAUAUUCUUAAAGGCAAGCAGUUGUCUACAUAUGCAAUUUCGAGUGACGCUUCUCACCAACAUUGGUUUGUCUAGUUGUAUUUAGCAACAUGCUGCAUGCAGAUGUGAGCUGUACUGGAAGAUAGUAUUAUUCAGUGCUGAAUGUGAUCGUGGUGUAUUGAGGAAAGUAUUCUAGGCUUUUAGCUUUGGUAUUUACCCCAGGACUGUAAAACUCCACAUCUCCUAAGAAAACAACAGUUAUACUGUGCGUUACUGUAGUAACACCAUUGUUUGAAAGGAGUUGCUACACCCAAGGACUGGCUGGUGGUGUAUGGUUGGGUGUAUGUAGUGAUUAUCAAUUUAAAAUAUACAGAAAGUUAAAUCAUUCGCAUUUGCAGAUAUCAUACUCAGAAGAGUUAACACCAAGACUGGGUUAAUGAUUACAUGAGUGCUGUUUUGUCUCAUUCCACUUACUUUAUUUCAGGCAUUUUUACUCUAGACCUUCUUACCCACAAUCCAGCAGAGCUAACACAGCAGAAUUAUUGAACAAGACCUAAUUUUUUUCCCCGUCAUUUAUUUUAAUCACUUUGUAAAUGAAUCGGUUUCCAAAAAAAUAAAAUAAAUGGUGAGCUGGAGAGUGACACACCCAAUGCCACAUACAAGAUAUCUGUAAAACAGGCAGCCUGAGACACACACUCGGUCUUAGAAUCAUUCUCACAUAGCUUAGUUUCACUUUGACUGGUCAACUAUCUUAGCCCACUGGCAACAGAAUUAUUGGGAAGAAAAAAAAAAACUACAAAAUCUUCAUUCAAAAUCUACCUCUAAUAAGCAUGUAAACAAACCUUCA